UAUGUGUGACGUUGACUGCAGCAUGUUUGGCAUUCUUUGGAAAUUACCCGGAAGAAAUGUUAGAAGAUAAAAAAUGCCAAAUAGAAUGUAUUUUAACAGUGACUGCUGUGAGCGGGACGUCCUGGGAAGGAUUAGUGACUGUGGGUAAAUAGCUCUUAUAAAGGCCUUGCACGGAAAUUGUUGUUAAUAGGAAGCCCCUUGUGUUUUCAUGGCUGAUUAAUCUGUUGCCAUAGCGGAGAAGCAUAUAAAAUACUGGCUACUCAAACUUCCUGGAAAAAUUUUCAGCAUUCCAUUUACUUUCGUAGAGAGAAAUUUGCAACAAAUUAUUUUUAAACUGCAAAUCCCAGGAUGUGUAGGGCUGCCAGGAUGAUUGUAGAGGGGGUGUGCAGUUUUGGAGGAUGGGUUAAAAUAAGUGUUUUCUGCAGCUUUGACUGAUGUAGGUAAUCUGAUAAGGGUGCUCCGUUUCAUUGAGUUGGGAAGUUGACGGGGUAAUAUGUUCAGGAAUUGGAAAUAAAGACGAUAGUAAGGUAAAUCGUAGAUGCUGUUCAGAAGCAGCAACGGAACCUAGUAUCAGACUUCGGAAACUUGGUUCCCGCCGUCUGAUACCUAAAUAUCCAAGCCAGCACCUAUGUUGGUAAAAGGGGAAACAGCGUGAUGUUUUGGUUCUUAAGGAAAGUUUAUUGGUCUUCGGAAAUGACAGCGUUUUAUUGUUCAUUUUAAUUUUGUAUUUAAAUCACGUGGAAAAGAUUUUUGUUUUUGGUAACGUUUCUUGGGCCCUCAGCAGAAAAUAUGUUACUAACGUCCAAUUGGGAAACGUAAGUUGGUGAUUUUUUUUUAAAAAAAAAAAACAAACAACUUUUUUUGAAACCAAUUUAGAUAGAUGCUUAUCCUUUACACUAUUCAUACAAGAGUGCUAGCCCAGGGAUUUUAUUUUUUUUCUCCAGUGGACUUGAUUACGCUAUGUCGUUAAUGCACCUCAUUGUCACUUUUGUGUAAGUUUUGAAAAAAGAGAGUUUGGUUAAACUGCAUGUCACCGUAGCUGGCAGGAGUCUGAGAUUAGAACUUUUUGCAUAAUAAAAUAAUUUGGAAGUUGUUCAGAGCAGCUGGUUCCUGAGUUAUCCCCUUCCUUCAUGGUCAGUUUCUGUUACUUAAGCAAGAAGGGUGGGAAGAAAAGUAUUAGCACUUGGAAGAUGGAGAAACGAUUAGGUGCUGUCUACUAUCUAUUUAAAACAAAUGGGGAAAAAAAAUCCCUCUCCAUUGUAGAAAUUUGCUUUGCCCCGUCACCAGUACAGGAGCAGAAAGAAAUUCUUACAUUCAGAGUGAGGCAUGUGGUCGUUCUUCAACUAUUCUGUUACAACUUGUUUUUUUACAGAAGGUGGAUGGGGCCUUAUUUCUCCUUAAUUAGACAGCGUUGCAUCAAUGAUUUUGUUGGGGAAAGGAUUUAUCCAACAGGGAGCAUUCACAUAUAACUGUUCAGCCACAGCGGGGAUGGAUAGCCUAUAUUUUGGGGGAUAAGGAACUAUGUACUGGAUUUAUCAAGAGAAGAAUUAUGGCAAAGAAAUGUCAGUUGCUUUUAAAGAAAAAAAAACACAAAACUCUUCUCUAUUUCUCAGUAUUAGUCCAAAUAAGAUUAAUCCUUUAGCAACAAGUAGACACCAGUCCAUUAGAUCUCAAUUUGUGUAGUGCAUUUUUGCUUCUGCCUUCUCAGUCGUCUCUGCGGUCUCAGGCAAAUCAAAAUAUGAUAGGAAUUGCCUGUUUCUUCUAACUCUUUCCCUGAAGAAUUAUAUUUGGCAAUCUAGCUCUAAAUUUUAAAACUGUUUAAACUGGAUCAAACUGCAUAAAAAUUGCAAUAAUUCAAAUGCAAGCAUUGCUUUUAAAAACACAAAUUUGUAUGAAAGUAACAUCAAUUUGCAUUGAAUUAGGUUCCUCAAGUUUUAACCAAGUAAAUACUACUACUAUUAGCAAAAUAUCAAGUGUCUGUUAUGAGGUUUAACAAAUGAGUGAUACAUAAGAAUUAUAUUUGGCAAUCUAGUUCUAAAUUUUAAAGCUGGUUAAACUGGAUCAUACUGCAUAAAAAUUGCAAAAAUUCAAAUGCAAGCAGUGCUUUUUAAAACACAAAUUUGCAUUAAAUUAACAUCAGUUUGCAUUGAAUUAGGUUCCUCAAGUUUUAACCAAAUAGCUACUACUGCUACUAGCAAAAUAUCAAGUGUCCGUUCUGAGGUUUAACAAAUGAGUGAUACAUACUGUCUAUUGCUUAGUUGUUAAAUGGAAGCAGAUUAUUGAAUGUCAACUGUAUUUUAUACAGUUUAAUAUACAAUAACUAUUUGAAGAAGUUUAAAUUUGUGCAGCAGAUUUAUAUUUAGGAAACAGUUUAAUGCAUUUUUCUUGUAUGGCUUUUUUGAUUGGGGGGGAAAAGUGUAUUUUUUUGUCUCUUACUGGCUGUGUCCCUGCAAAAUACUGUAUCCUACUUAAGUCAGAGGGACUAGAUAAAUUUACCUCUGCCCCCCAUGUAUUUUUUUUUUUAAUUUUGAAUACAUAUACAAUAAAAUGUUUCUUGCUUGUUAA